AUCAACGCUGGCGGCGUGCCCUAACAACAUGCAAGUUCGAACGAGAAAGGGGGAGCAAUCCCUGAGUAAAGUGGCGCACGGGUGAGUAACACGUGACUAACCUACCCUUGAGUGGGGGGGAUAAACUGAGGGAAACCUUAGCUAAAUUACCGCAUAAUACCCACGGGUCAAAGGAGCAAUUCGCUCGAGGAGGGGGGGUCGCGGGCCCGAUUAGUUAGUUGCGGGGGUAAUGGCCCACCAAGACGAUGAUCGGUAUCCGGCCUGAAGAGGGGCGCACGGACACACUGGAAACUGACAACACGGUCCAGACUCCUACGGGAGGCAGCAGUGGGGGAAUUUUGCGCAAUGGGGGAAACCCUGACGCAGCAAACGCCGCGUGGGAGGAUGAAGUCCUUCGGGGCACGUAAACUCCUUUCGAUCGGGACGAUUAUGACGGUACCGGAAGAAGAAGCCCCGGCUAACUUCGUGCCAGCAGGCCGCUGGUAAUACGAGGGGGGGCGAGCGUUGUUCGGAAUUAUGGGGCGUAAAGGGUGCGUAGGCGGUUUUGGUAAAGUUCCUGAUGUGAAAAUCUUAUGGGCUUCAACUCCAUAGUCUGCAUCGGAAACUGCCGGCCUUGAGUGUGGGAGAGGUUGAGUUGGAAUUUCCGGUGUAGCGGUGAAAUGCGUAGAUAUGGAAGGAACACCUGUGGCGAAAGCGUGCUCACUGGACCACAACUGAACGCUGACGCACGAAAAGCUAGGGGGGCAAAACAGGAUUAGAUACCCUGGUAGUCCUAGCCCUAAACGAUGACUGCUUGGUGGACGGGGUACCCAAUCCGCCGUGCCGUAGCUAACGCGUUAAGCAGUCACGCCUGGGGAGUACGUGUCGCAAGGGCUGAAACUCCAAAGGAAUUGACGGGGGCCCGCACCACAGCGGUGGAGCAUGUGGUUUAAUUCGACGCAAACGCGAAGAACCUUACCCUGGGCCUCGAAAAUGCUAUGGGACCGGAGUAGAAAAUAUUCCUUCCCCGCAAGGGGCCGUAGUUAUAGGUGCUGCAUGGCCUGUCGUCAGCUCGUGUCCGUGGAGAUGUUGGGUUAAGUCCCGCAACCGAGCGCAACCCUUACCUCCAGUUUGCUACCAUUUUAGUUGAGCACUCUGGCGGAACCGCCCUCGGAUAACGGGGAGGAAGGUUGGGGAUGACGUCAGUCCUCAUGGGCCUUUAUGUCCAGGGCUACACACGUGCUACAAUGGCCGGUACAAACCGUCGCAAACCCGUGAGGGGGAGCUAAUCGGAAAAAGCCGGGCCCCCCUCAGUUUCGGGAUUGAAGUCUGCAACUCGACUUCAUGAAGCUGGAAUCGCUAGUAAUCGCGGAUCAGAAUGCCGCGGUGGAAUACGUUUCCCGGGCCUUGUACACACCGCCCGUCACAUCACGAAAGUGGGGUUGCACUAGAAGUCGGUGGGGCCAACCGCAAGGGGGCAGCCGCCCAAGGGUGUAAUUCAUGAUUGGGGUG
rnacentral:rRNA from 1 species